rnacentral:rRNA from 1 species
AUGAACUUAGCUUGCUAAGUUUGAUGGCGACCGGCGCACGGGUGAGUAACACGUAUCCAACCUUCCGAUGACUCGGGGAUAGCCUUUCGAAAGAAAGAUUACUUCCCGAUGGCAUAGUUCUUCCGCAUGGUAGAACUAUUAAAGAAUUUCGGUCAUCGAUGGGGAUGCGUUCCAUUAGGUUGUUGGCGGGGUAACGGCCCACCAAGCCUUCGAUGGAUAGGGGUUCUGAGAGGAAGGUCCCCCACAUUGGAACUGAGACACGGUCCAAACUCCUACGGGAGGCAGCAGUGAGGAAUAUUGGUCAAUGGACGAGAGUCUGAACCAGCCAAGUAGCGUGAAGGAUGACUGCCCUAUGGGUUGUAAACUUCUUUUAUACGGGAAUAAAGUGAGGCACGUGUGCCUUUUUGUAUGUACCGUAUGAAUAAGGAUCGGCUAACUCCGUGCCAGCAGCCGCGGUAAUACGGAGGAUCCGAGCGUUAUCCGGAUUUAUUGGGUUUAAAGGGAGCGUAGGCGGACGCUUAAGUCAGUUGUGAAAGUUUGCGGCUCAACCGUAAAAUUGCAGUUGAUACUGGGUGUCUUGAGUACAGUAGAGGCAGGCGGAAUUCGUGGUGUAGCGGUGAAAUGCUUAGAUAUCACGAAGAACUCCGAUUG